UGGUGAAUAAAGAUGCCUAUAGCCAGUA
rnacentral:piRNA from 1 species